UACGUAGGUGGCAAGCGUUGUCCGGAAUUAUUGGGCGUAAAGCGCGCGCAGGCGGCCCUUUAAGUCUGAUGUGAAAGCCCACGGCUCAACCGUGGAGGGUCAUUGGAAACUGGAGGACUUGAGUACAGAAGAGGAAAGCGGAAUUCCACGUGUAGCGGUGAAAUGCGUAGAGAUGUGGAGGAACACCAGUGGCGAAGGCGGCUUUCUGGUCUGUAACUGACGCUGAGGCGCGAAAGCGUGGGGAGCAAACAGG
rnacentral:rRNA from 1 species